rnacentral:rRNA from 1 species
GGGCCCGCACAAGCGGUGGAGCAUGUGGUUUAAUUCGAUGAUACGCGAGGAACCUUACCAGGGCUUAAAUGCAGUCUGACGUAUCUGGAAACAGAUAUUUCUUCGGACAGAUUGCAAGGUGCUGCAUGGUUGUCGUCAGCUCGUGCCGUGAGGUGUCAGGUUAAGUCCUAUAACGAGCGCAACCCCUGUGGUUAGUUGCCAGCACGUAAUGGUGGGAACUCUAGCCAGACUGCCGGUGCAAACCGUGAGGAAGGUGGGGAUGACGUCAAAUCAUCACGGCCCUUACGUCCUGGGCCACACACGUGCUACAAUGGUAGGGACAGAGAGCAGCCACUUCGCGAGAAGGAGCGAAUCUAUAAACCCUAUCACAGUUCGGAUCGUAGUCUGCAACUCGACUACGUGAAGCUGGAAUCGCUAGUAAUCGCAUAUC